ACGCACGCUGGCGGCGUGCUUAACACCUGCCAGUCGAACGGAAAGGCCUGCUUUCCCUUGUGGAUUGCGGGUACUCGAGUGGCGAACGGGUGAGUAACACGUGAGUGAUCUGCCCCCAACUUGGGUAUAAGCCUGGGAAACUGGGUCUAAUUCCCGAUAGGACUGCAGGGUGGUGCCUGUGGUGGAAAACGAUUUUCUAGUGGUUGGGGAUGAGCUCGCGGCCUAUCAGCUUGUUGGUGGGGUAAUGGCCUACCAAGGCGGCGACGGGUAGCCGGCCUGAGAGGGUGGACGGCCACAUUGGGACUGAGAUACGGCCCAGAAUCCUACGGGAGGCAGCAGUGGGGAAUAUUGCACAAUGGGCGGAAGCCUGAUGCAGCGACGCCGCGUGGGUGAUGACGGCCUUCGGGUUGUAAACUCCUUUCGACCGCGAGGAAGCCACCUGGUUGGAAGGGUGGUGACGGUAGUGGUAGAAGAAGCACCGGCUAACUACGUG
rnacentral:rRNA from 1 species